UUUCUACUAAAGAAUAUGAUAUUUAUACAGGAUAUCUUGAUCUAGGGACUACUAGUAGUGAAUCUGUUUGUUCGAAUCUGCAUCUUCAUGUUUUCCAUAAUCCCGAGAUAUUCAGUAAAUUCGAUUUUAUGGCUGGAAAGUACAAGGAGCUGGAUAUGUCUGGUUUAAAGCUGUCAAAAACACGAGAUUAUGCUGUUUAUCUAGCCUUGAAAUCAUCAGGACAAGGGAAAGGGGAAAAGGAAGUGACAGAUCGGUAUUCUAUUGGAGAAGAAGGAUCCUUGGCUAAUGUUUGUAAAAUAGACGGAGAUAACUCAUCAGUCUAAUGUGCUUUUAAUGUCGUCUUUAAAGGGAUUGUAAGUGUCAUUUCAAGUGACCUUCCUUGCAAAUAUAACAUUUCCUACAGUAGAAUUGCGCAGUAAAAGUUUGAAAACCCACAAUCAAAAAUAAUCCUUUUUGAAAAUUAUGAACAAUGAUAUCAAAUCAUAUUUAAUC